rnacentral:rRNA from 1 species
GAUGAACGCUGGCGGCGUGCCUAAUACAUGCAAGUCGAACGCAUUGUGGUUGAAAUGAUAUGAAGAACUUGUUCAGAUUUGAUUUUCAACAUUGCAAUGAGUGGCGAACGGGUGAGUAACACGUGGGAAACCUACCUCUUAGCAGGGGAAAACAUUUGGAAACAAAUGCUAAUACCGUAUAAUAAUUAAAACCGCAUGGUUUUAGUUUAAAAGAUGGUCUUGCUAUCACUAAGAGAUGGUCCCGCGGUGUAUUAGUUAGUUGGUGAGGUAAUGGCUCACCAAGACAAUGAUACAUAGCCGAGUUGAGAGACUGACCGGCCACAAUGGGACUGAGACACGGCCCAUACUCCUACGGGAGGCAGCAGUAGGGAAUCUCACAAUGGACGAAAGUACUGAUGGAGCAACGCCGCGUGUGUGAUGAA